UACGUAGGCAGCGAGCGUUGUUCGGAGUUACUGGGCGUAAAGCGUGCGUAGGCGGUGUCUUAAGUUUGUUGUGAAAUCUCCCGGCUUAACCGGGAGGGUGCGGCGAAUACUGAGAUGCUGGAGUGCCGGAGAGGUAAGCGGAAUUCCUGGUGUAGCGGUGAAAUGCGUAGAUAUCAGGAGGAAUACCGGUGGCGAAGGCGGGUCUCUGGACAGUUCCUGACGCUGAGGCACGAAGGCCCAGGGGAGCAAACGGG
rnacentral:rRNA from 1 species